rnacentral:rRNA from 1 species
UACAGAGGGUGCAAGCGUUACUCGGAAUUACUGGGCGUAAAGCGUGCGUAGACGGUUACACAAGUCGGGUGUGAAAGCCCCGGGCUCAACCUGGGAAUUGCAUUCGAGACUGCGUAGCUAGGGUGCGGAAGAGGGAAGCGGAAUUUCCGGUGUAGCGGUGAAAUGCGUAGAUAUCGGAAGGAACACCAGUGGCGAAAGCGGCUUCCUGGUCCAGCACUGACGUUCAGGCACGAAAGCGUGGGGAGCAAACAGG